GGAAGUGCAUGUGGUCUGGUGACCGCCCUGGACUUCAAAUCCAUUGGUCCUGCCUUGCGUGGGACGGUCGGUUCGAUUCCGACACACUUCCGCCA
rnacentral:tRNA from 1 species